UCGGUUGAUCCUGCCGGAGGUUACUGCUAUCGGUGUUCGCCUAAGCCAUGCGAGUCAAAUGUAGCAAUACAUGGCAUACUGCUCAGUAACACGUGGAUAACCUGACCUUGGGACCGGAAUAACCCCGGGAAACUGGGGAUAAUACCGGAUAACGAAUAUGUGCUGGAAUGCUUUAUCCGUAAAAUGGAUACGUCUGCCCAAGGAUGGGUCUGCGGCCUAUCAGGUAGUAGUGGGUGUAAUGGACCUACUAGCCGACAACGGGUACGGGUUGUGAGAGCAAAAGCCCGGAGAUGGAUUCUGAGACAUGAAUCCAGGCCCUACGGGGCGCAGCAGGCGCGAAAACUUUACAAUGCGGGAAACCGUGAUAAGGGGACACCGAGUGCCAGCAUCAUAUGCUGGCUGUCCAGGUGUGUAAAAUACACCUGUCAGCAAGGGCCGGGCAAGACCGGUGCCAGCCGCCGCGGUAACACCGGCGGCCCGAGUGGUAAUCGUUAUUAUUGGGUCUAAAGGGUCCGUAGCCGGUUUGGUCAGUCCUCAGGGAAAUCUGAUAGCUUAACUAUUAGGCUUUCUGGGGAUACUGCCAGACUUGGAACCGGGAGAGGUAAGAGGUACUACAGGGGUAGGAGUGAAAUCUUGUAAUCCCUGUGGGANCACCUGUGGCGAAGGCGUCUUACCAGAACGGGUUCGACGGUGAGGGACGAAAGCUGGGGGCACGAACCGGAUUAGAUACCCGGGUAGUCCCAGCCGUAAACNAUGCUCGCUAGGUGUC
rnacentral:rRNA from 1 species